rnacentral:lncRNA from 1 species
CUUGGGCUGCUGCACCUGCAAGAACCCCUCCUUGUGCUCUGCUGCUCACGGGGUGCUUAGAGCUGAGCAUCCUCACGGGGGGAUGCCCUACGGGGAGCUCCCAACGUCCCCUCCGCAGCUCCUACACCCCCAGGGUCGCCGGGCUGCAGUGGAUGGAUUUCAGCCCAGCUGGCAGUUUGGGAUCGUUAACCAUGAAGGUGCCCCUGGGAAGAAGCGAAAAAGGGUUAGAGCAAGAUGGAUGGUUCCCCAGGCCCAUGGAAUGAGCAGAUAGAGGCAGCCCUGUCGACUCUGGCAUCCCAUUAAGCCAAGCUGUGGGAGGAGGCCGCCUUCGGACUUAUUACAUUUGCCUCCACCCGGACCCCAAAUAUCAGCCCCAGUGUGGGGUGCCCCCGGCUCGGCUGCCCGUGCCCCACAUUGCCGGGUGCCACCCGCAC